rnacentral:rRNA from 1 species
AACGCGAAGAACCUUACCUGGGCUCGAACGGCUUCGGACCAUCCUUGGAAACAGGGACUUCCCGCAAGGGACUGGAGUCGAGGUGCUGCAUGGCUGUCGUCAGCUCGUGUCGUGAGAUGUUGGGUUAAGUCCCGCAACGAGCGCAACCCUUGUCCUGUGUUGGCAUGCCGUAAGGCGCAACUCUCAGGAGACCGCCAGCGGGUCAAGCCGGGCACUCUAGCGAAACCGCCCCGGAUAACGGGGAGGAAGGUGGGGAUGACGUCAAGUCCUCAUGGCCUUUAUGUCCAGGGCUACACACGUGCUACAAUGGUCGGUACAAACCGUCGCAAACCUGCGAAGGGGAGCUAAUCGGAAAAAGCCGGCCUCAGUUCGGAUUGGAGUCUGCAACUCGACUCCAUGAAGCUGGAAUCGCUAGUAAUCGCGGAUCAGCACGCCGCGGUGAAUACGUUCCCGGGCCUUGUACACACCGCUAGUC